rnacentral:rRNA from 1 species
AGUAACAUCCGGAAACGGGUAGCUAAUACCGCAUAGUUUUCUUUGAUCGCAUGAUCGGGAAAGGAAAGACGGCCUUUGUGCUGUCGCUUAUGGAUGGACCCGCGGCGUAUUAGUUAGUUGGUGAGGUAACGGCUCACCAAGACGAUGAUACGUAGCCGACCUGAGAGGGUGAUCGGCCACAUUGGGACUGAGACACGGCCCAAACUCCUACGGGAGGCAGCAGUAGGGAAUCUUCCGCAAUGGACGAAAGUCUGACGGAGCAACGCCGCGUGAGUGAAGAAAAGGGUUUUCGGAUCGUAAAACUCUGUUGUCAGAGAAGAACAAGUUGGAGAGUAACUGCUCCAGCCUUGACGGUAUCUGACCAGAAAGCCACGGCUAACUACGUGCCAGCAGCCGC